rnacentral:rRNA from 1 species
UACGGAGGGUGCAAACGUUGCUCGGAAUCAUUGGGCGUAAAGCGCACGUAGGCGGCCCGGUAAGUCGGAUGUGAAAGCCCUCGGCUCAACUGAGGAAGUGCAUUCGAAACUGCUGGACUUGAGUACGGGAGAGGGAUGCGGAAUUCCCGGUGUAGAAGUGAAAUUCGUAGAUAUCGGGAGGAACACCAGUGGCGAAGGCGGCAUCCUGGACCGAUACUGACGCUGAGGUGCGAAAGCGUGGGGAGCAAACAGG